GUGCUUGCACCGAGCGGAAGAGUUGCGAACGGGUGAGUAACGCGUAGGUAACCUGCCUCUUAGCGGGGGAUAACUAUUGGAAACGAUAGCUAAUACCACAUAAAAGUCGGCAUUGCAUGAUGUUGACUUGAAAGGUGCAACUGCAUCACUAAGAGAUGGACCUGCGUUGUAUUAGCUAGUUGGUGAGGUAACGGCUCACCAAGGCGACGAUACAUAGCCGACCUGAGAGGGUGAUCGGCCACACUGGGACUGAGACACGGCCCAGACUCCUACGGGAGGCAGCAGUAGGGAAUCUUCGGCAAUGGACGGAAGUCUGACCGAGCAACGCCGCGUGAGUGAAGAAGGUUUUCGGAUCGUAAAGCUCUGUUGUAAGAGAAGAACGAGUGUGAGAGUGGAAAGUUCACACUGUGACGGUAACUUACCAGAAAGGGACGGCUAACUACGUGCCAGCAGCCGCGGUAAUACGUAGGUCCCGAGCGUUAUCCGGAUUUAUUGGGCGUAAAGCGAGCGCAGGCGGUUAGAUAAGUCUGAAGUUAAAGGCUGUGGCUUAACCAUAGUACGUUUUGGAAACUGUUUAACUUGAGUGCAGAAGGGGAGAGUGGAAUUCCAUGUGUAGCGGUGAAAUGCGUAGAUAUAUGGAGGAACACCGGUGGCGAAAGCGGCUCUCUGGUCUGUAACUGACGCUGAGGCUCGAAAGCGUGGGGAGCAAACAGGAUUAGAUACCCUGGUAGUCCACGCCGUAAACGAUGAGUGCUAGGUGUUGGGUCCUUUCCGGG
rnacentral:rRNA from 1 species